AAGGAUCAUUGAAUCUAAUCAAUACCAACACCGUGAACUUCUAUUGUUUGGUCAGCCGAUGAAAGCUUCACUGCCUAAUCGGCGCGACUUUGCUGCGUGGUUAUUUCAGCAAAGUUGGAUUCACCUGGUUCCUUGUGCUUUGUCCUUUACGGGACUUAGCGCUUGGUUCCAAGUGCGUCGGCCCCAAUAAUAACUAACCCAACACCAAACCAAAACCUAUCAAUAGAAUACUAUGUGUAUCUGGCCUAGCCAGUGCAUACAAACAGAGAUAACUCUCAACAACGGAUAUCUUGGCUCUC
rnacentral:misc_RNA from 1 species